rnacentral:rRNA from 1 species
UACGAAGGGGGCUAGCGUUGUUCGGAUUUACUGGGCGUAAAGCGCGUGUAGGCGGGCUGGAAAGUUGGGGGUGAAAUCCCGAGGCUCAACCUCGGAACUGCCUCCAAAACUUCCAGCCUGGACUCAAGCAGAGGCAAGUGGAAUUGCGAGUGUAGAGGUGAAAUUCGUAGAUAUUCGCAGGAACACCAGUGGCGAAGGCGACUUGCUGGGCUUGUAGUGACGCUGAGGCGCGACAGCGUCGGGAGCAAACAGG